AAAGAGUGUAUUCUUGUUCCUGAUUUACCCCAUCUUCCUCCCUCUCUCUGCUUCCUUGCUGCCAUGGGUUGAGCAACUUUCCUCCACCAUGCCCUUCCAAAGUGACAUCUCUGCCUGUGUACCAGCCUACCAUGGACUGAACUCUUUGAAACUGUGUUUCGAAGACUGUGGGGCAGAUCAAAGACUCCAACACAAACCUCUCCUUUUGUGAGAUCCAGAUCCAGGUAAGCUGCAGUUUCUGGAUUCAGUCCAAGCUCCCACCCACCAGAGCAGUGCCAGAUCUGUGUGGGCCAGGAGAGUGGCCUCCCGCGUGCUGUACGCAGCCACAGCUCUGCCUGGACCCGGGAUCCCCAGCCAUUAUUAUUACCCUGUAAGCCUUGGGCUGUCCCUAACCAGACUCCAACCAGAUCGAAGCG
rnacentral:lncRNA from 1 species